GCCAGCCCUGGCCACCCCAUUCAAAGAAGGUUCCGACCCACUUUGGGGUCCUGACCCACAGUUUGAGAACUGCUGUGCUAGUCCAUGUUCCUCUGAGAAGAAAUGUGAUCAGUAUUCAAAGCGUGGGACUGGGAGACUUGAGGUCCUGAAUUGUAAACCUGGCUCUGUCAUUGAUUUGCACUGUGGUAAUUCAGGCUCUGAAGCUGUGGAAUGCCGAGCCCCUGCAGCUCCCAUUAACACCACUCUUAGCACCUAGGAGGAUCAACUUUUUACCCUCUUCCUAGAUUUCAUUCCCCUAAUAUAAAACAGGGCAUGGGAACCAUACUUCAUUGGUGUGUUGUGGAGACUGAUCAGUUAAUGGGCCAAAUUCUGCUCUCUUUCAUCUGUUCAGCACCCUGGACUUCAGGUGUAAUGGAUAAAAAGUUGGACAAACAUUGGGAUGCAUUCUUUUCUAAACAUGCAGUAUUUAAAAGCUGUCUGGCAUUACUGAUGUGGUCUUUGAGUCCAGCUGAAUGUAGUUUUUCCUGGGUGGCCUUUGCAGUUUUGCAGACCUAGAAGUGCUCUGAGAGAUGUUCACUGCAGGAAAUAAUUGGUGCCUAAUUGACAUUCCAGUGACUCCCUUGGGCUGGAGGGCACCUUUCCUGAAGACACUGGCUGAUGUUUAAACGUCUAAGCUACCUGCAGUCAUGUAGUAAACACACCCCUCUGGUAUGUGCUUUGUAUGAUAAAUUGGUGUCUCAUUCUUGCUAAUUGCUUUCUGGCUGCUUUAUCAACAGACAGGUAUCUUCUCCAAGCAGCUUUUAUGUGCUCUCUCCAGAAUUGUCAGGCUGACUCUGCUAACUGUUAGAACCCAAGGGCACAAUGGUAAGGCAGAGAGGGAAAGUUGCUGCAAUUAAUGCUGAUACAGGGUGUAUUAAGAUGAAAAGACUUUUCUCAAAAGUCCUAAACAGUGAAUGGCUGAUGUAUGGCGUGAGGAGGGUAAAUCAGGAAAGCUGGUACAGUAUGUUUCUUCUGAUGCAGUGACAUAUGGAAGAGAUGGUGCCUUGGAAGGGAGGGAGCAGAGAAGUUUGCCGCUGGCUCUGGAUAGCCCCAAUCCUGCUGCCACUGAAUUUCGCCACAAUCUUCAAUGGAAGCAGGAGGAGAAGGUGACCCAGCAACGAGUGUCUGUGUGAAAGAGCAGCUGCAAUCCAUUGGCCAUCCCCACUGAAUACCAGGAGGAGAGUGAAGAUGAAAGGUUUUCCCAGAGGUGAAGAAGUAGAACAAAAGAAACCAAAGGGACAGUCUGGAAGAAGAAAACAUCUGUGACAGUUUGGUCUGCUACUAUAAGGUAAAUGCCAUAAUAUCAGCCUGUACAGACAAUGUCUGCAUUUGGGGAUACAGAUUUAUCAAUGGAAGGCAGUAUUGUGUAGUGGUUAAAGCACCAAACUGCGUGCAAGACAGAGAUGUGACCAGAACCUAGAUAAGGGAUUCACAAUGCAAACUUGAGACAAUCACAUAAGCUCUCUGUCUCCAUUUCCCUAUUUGUAAAAUAGCAUACCGAUGUACUUCUGUGAAGUGCUUUAAGAUCCUUGACUGAGAAGUGCCAUGGAUAUAGCACAGAGGUAUCCAUCCAAUAAUCAGUGGAACAUCUCCUUUUCAAAUAAAGUCUCUAGAAAAUAACAGAAGCUCUCAGCUGUAAGAAAAGAGUAAGUAGAUUCAACCCAUUCCUAAUGAGCAGGCACAGCCUUUAAUUCCCUUCUUCCCUCCCUCUCUGGAGUUCCAUGGCAUCUCCUUAGACUUUGCUCUGUCAAACUGCAGGGCCUAAAUCUGCCCUGGCACCCCAGAAAAAGUAGAGAUAAAAGGAAAAAAAAUGUGUACAAGUCAGACAGGUGGAAAAGGCUAUUGGGCUUCCCUGGUAAUGUGAGAGCUUUUGAGUCCCUCCUAGACUCCCUGAUUUGACUGCAACAAAGAAUUCUGUGGCACCUUAUAGACUAACAGAUGUAUUGGAGCAUGAGCUUUUGUGGGUGAAUAGUAUUCACUGAAUACCCACUUCGUCAGAUCCUACAGCCUUAGUCAAAACUUCCACAGGCUUCAGUGAAAGUGUUACCAGAAGACAGACCUUGGAACCUGACCCAGCAAUAGUCUGUCCCCAUAGUAAAACAUAAAGCAAUUAAAGAGAGCAGACAUUUCAGCUAGUGCGAACCAGUACUUAGGCAGCUUCCUUCACCAAUGAUGUCAAAGUCCUUUAAAGCUAGCUGAGUACUAAUAUACCCAUUUUACAGGUGGUGAAACAAGCCCCAGGAAGCUUAACUUCACCAGGAUCAUGUGGAGAACCAGUAGAAUAUACGCUUGCUGGAUACCCUGUCAUCCAUUAGACCUUGCAGCCUUCGGGUGUAAAAAUACUUUUCAGUCUUUUAGCGGCUUCCAUGUUAUGAUUCCAAAGCAUUUUAUAAGCACUGAUCUUCUCAACAUCCCUCUAAGGUAGGAAAUCAUGAUUAACUACCCCUAUUUUAUAGAAAGUGAAAAUGAAGCACAGAGGAGAGAGUGGAGUGCCGCAGGUCACACACAAGCUCUGUGGUACAGCCAGAAAUAGAACCUUGUAUUCACAGUCUUAUGCCUUAACCACAAGCCCAGUGGUCCCCAACCU